rnacentral:misc_RNA from 1 species
AUUUGCUACAAUAAGAGUUUUUGCCUCCAGAUUACUAGCAAUUUCUCGUCCAACAAUACCAAAGAUGCCAAUAAGGUAGCCGAAUGGUUCAUGAGUACACAACUGAAUUCAUGAGGUUAGCUGAAAGAAAUAGCCUCCAUGAAUCCGAAGGACAACAAAUUGUAUGGUACUUGGAAGGAUUAAAGCCAACCAUAAACGACCGGAUUGGAGUUCAAGUAUUGCGGACGUAAUCCAAGGCUAAAAAUGUG